rfam:Geobacter sp. FRC-32, complete genome.
AGACGACAAUACUAAACCAUUCGCGAGAAUGGGGCGGAAAACCCAUGGGUCUCCUGUAGACAGCCGGGCUGCCGAA